rnacentral:tRNA from 1 species
UCCCUUAUAGCUCAGUUGGUAAAGAAUCUGCUUGCAAUGCAGGAGACCCAGGUUCGAUUCCUGGGUUGGGAA